GCCCCCGUAGCUCAGCUGGAUAGAGCAAUCGCCUCCUAAGCGAUAGGUCGCAGGUUCAAGUCCUGCCGGGGGUACCA
rnacentral:tRNA from 1 species